GAUGAACGCUGGCGGCGUGCCUAAUACGUGCAAGUCGAGCGAGCGGACGAGAAGCUUGCUUCUCUGAUGUUAGCGGCGGACGGGUGAGUAACACGUGGAUAACCUACCUAUAAGACUGGGAUAACUUCGGGAAACCGGAGCUAAUACCGGAUAAUAUUUUGAACCGCAUGGUUCAAAAGUGAAAGACGGUCUUGCUGUCACUUAUAGAUGGAUCCGCGCUGCAUUAGCUAGUUGGUAAGGUAACGGCUUACCAAGGCAACGAUGCAUAGCCGACCUGAGAGGGUGAUCGGCCACACUGGAACUGAGACACGGUCCAGACUCCUACGGGAGGCAGCAGUAGGGAAUCUUCCGCAAUGGGCGAAAGCCUGACGGAGCAACGCCGCGUGAGUGAUGAAGGUCUUCGGAUCGUAAAACUCUGUUAUUAGGGAAGAACAUAUGUGUAAGUAACUGUGCACAUCUUGACGGUACCUAAUCAGAAAGCCACGGCUAACUACGUG
rnacentral:rRNA from 1 species